ACGCUGGCGGCAGGCCUAACACAUGCAAGUCGAGCGCGCCUUCGGGCGAGCGGCGGACGGGUUAGUAACGCGUGGGAACGUGCCCAGAUCUACGGAAUAGCCACUGGAAACGGUGAGUAAUACCGUAUACGCCCUUCGGGGGAAAGAUUUAUCGGAUUUGGAUCGGCCCGCGUUAGAUUAGGUAGUUGGUGGGGUAACGGCCUACCAAGCCUACGAUCUAUAGCUGGUUUUAGAGGAUGAUCAGCAACACUGGGACUGAGACACGGCCCAGACUCCUACGGGAGGCAGCAGUGGGGAAUCUUGGACAAUGGGGGCAACCCUGAUCCAGCCAUGCCGCGUGAGUGAAGAAGGCCCUAGGGUCGUAAAACUCUUUCGCCUGUGAUGAUAAUGACAGUAGCAGGUAAAGAAACCCCGGCUAACUCCGUGCCAGCAGCCGCGGUAAUACGGAGGGGGUUAGCGUUGUUCGGAAUUACUGGGCGUAAAGCGCACGUAGGCGGAUUAGAAAGUUAGAGGUGAAAUCCCGGGGCUCAACCCCGGAACUGCCUUUAAAACUACUAGUCUAGAGUUCGAGAGAGGUGAGUGGAAUUCCGAGUGUAGAGGUGAAAUUCGUAGAUAUUCGGAGGAACACCAGUGGCGAAGGCGGCUCACUGGCUCGAUACUGACGCUGAGGUGCGAAAGUGUGGGGAGCAAACAGGAUUAGAUACCCUGGUAGUCCACACCGUAAACGAUGAAUGCCAGUCGUCGGGUAGUAUACUAUUCGGUGACACACCUAACGGAUUAAGCAUUCCGCCUGGGGAGUACGGUCG
rnacentral:rRNA from 1 species